rnacentral:rRNA from 1 species
UGGGGAAUAUUGGACAAUGGGCGCAAGCCUGAUCCAGCCAUGCCGCGUGAGUGAUGAAGGCCCUAGGGUUGUAAAGCUCUUUUGUGCGGGAAGAUAAUGACUGUACCGCAAGAAUAAGCCCCGGCUAACUUCGUGCCAGCAGCCGCGGUAAUACGAAGGGGGCUAGCGUUGCUCGGAAUCACUGGGCGUAAAGGGUGCGUAGGCGGGUCUUUAAGUCAGGGGUGAAAUCCUGGAGCUCAACUCCAGAACUGCCUUUGAUACUGAGGAUCUUGAGUUCGGGAGAGGUGAGUGGAACUGCGAGUGUAGAGGUGAAAUUCGUAGAUAUUCGCAAGAACACCAGUGGCGAAGGCGGCUCACUGGCCCGAUACUGACGCUGAGGCACGAAAGCGUGGGGAUCAAACA